CCGCACAGACCUCCACCGUUUCCGCCGCCGCCGCCGCUGCUCCCGUCCUGCUGCAGCUGCUGCGUGGUCUUGUCCUUGGUCUGCCGCUUCAGCUUGUAGCGGUGAUUCUGGAACCAGAUUUUCACCUGGUUCGGGCUGAGGUGGAUCAGUCCGGCCAGGUGCUCCCUCUCCGGGGCGGACAGGUAUUUCUGUUGCUUGAAGCGCCGCUCCAGCUCGUACACCUGCGCCUGAGAGAAAAGCACCCGCCGCUUCCUCCGUGGCGCGGCGUGCAGCGUCACCAUGGACUUGCCGGUGGAGUCCAUCCCGGACAAACUGCCCACCAUCCCGGACAUGUUCAUCCCGGCGGAGGGGCCCAUGAAUCUGGAAACUUAGCCAGAAAAUUACCAAUGUUUAAAUGAAAAAGGACGAGCUCAGUGUUGAAUUUAACUGGCGAUAUUGUCCUCAAGAAAACAUUUAAAAUGAUGAUGCCAAUCCUUAAAUCUAUCAGCAAAUAUUAUAAAUAUCUUUAUUUUUCUUUAAAAUGCUGAUUAAUACAAAGGCCUGUUAAAAACACAUUUUCAAAAAGUAGAAAACAAUAUUUAAGUUAAGUAUUUUUAGUAGAAAGCAAGUAAACAUCUUGCUUUUUAUUAAAUUAGUUUAAGAGUAUCUUUCGGAUUAUCUCCCGUUAUCAAAGCAGACAAAUUAGCCUAUUCAUAAAUAUAAUUAAUGUACAUUAAUGUCACCAUAAAGAGUUACAGAACUUAUAGAAAUUAAAGUCACUCUGGAGGACUAUAAACUCUCUGUGGUCACUAUAUGAUGAUAUAUAAACGUUACAAAUAAAAGAAUUUUAAGGUCACAAAACUGAAUUUUGAGAAGGCCUGUUUAUAAAUCCUUUAUAUAGAAACAUAAUAGUGCUGCCUGUGGUAAUUUAGAUACUAUAAAAUACAGUAAAAGUCACUUUAAUCUCACUGUUGAAUACCAAACACAGUCUUUAGUUUAAAAACAUUUUUUCCCAAUCGUCCGGGUCACAAUUUCUCUCUUUUUUAAAAAAAACUUUUCUCAGAUUAAAAAAAACAAACUUUUUUUUUUUAAGUGAAGCUCCUUACUUGUCGGGUAUCUGGGCUCUGGGUUGCUGUACCACGCCGCUGCCGCUCCUCCGCCCCGCACCGUCUCCUGGUAGGACGGCAGGUCUCCGACGUUGCCGAUGCCGCCGUUGCAGAACCCGCUGACGGGCCCGGAGAACUGUGGCACCCCGUGGGGCACAUGAUAGGGCCCGCUGGGUCCCAGGGCGGCUGCUGCUGCUGCUGCGGUGGCCGAGGCUGAGGAAGAGGAGGAGGAUGAGGAUGAAGAGGAGGACAGGUGGUGAUGGUGAUGGUGGUGAUGAUGAUGGUGGAGAUGAGGCGGCUGAUGCUGCUGCCCCUGCUGCUGAUGCUGCAUACCCGGCUGUGAGACCUGCGGCUGCCGGUAGGCGCUCAGCUGAGACCCUAGGCUCCCCGCGGCGGGAUCCAUACCUCCGUACCUCCGGUAGCUGUCCUCCAUCGGGCUCAAAAUGUCGGUGACUGAGAAGGGAGUGGAGUGCUUUGGGCUGAAGGACAUGGUGCGGCCACCCCGUGCUCUGGCUGGAUGUGGUCGGGUCUGUCCGGUGGGUGUCUGCCUGCGUCCCCCUCCCUCCCUCCGGCUUUUUGCUUCUUCUGCCUCCCUGGGAAGAAGUCCAGCUGAUCGGCUGCAGGAGGAGAGGAGUUACCCUUAUCCCGCCGGACUCCAACACAUGGAGGGGCGGAGCGACGCGGACACGGCAGCCAACAAUGGCAAUUGACAUUACAGAGGUAAGUGGAGAACAUGGUUUGGACCUACUUUCUUCCUCCGCAGAUGCGGUUUGGUUUUUACAAGGUUUGACUCAAACAAAAAUGCGAAGUCACAAACUCUCAAAUUCCUUUAAACUCCCAGAUGAGUUUCACUCUGUGGAGGUGAAAUUUAUUAAAAUGCUUCUUCAUAUUGAAAUGAUCUAAUUUCACUCCACUGAUCACCAACUGUUAGGUGAUUAUUAUUGAUAUUAGAUCCAUAACUUUCAGACUUUUUUACAUGAUAGAACACUUCACUCUUUGGAAACACAGCUUUAACUGCAGGUUUGUUCAGAACUUUAUGUUAUAGCUUUAUUUUGACAAUUAGUUUUGUGUGUUCAGGUCUUUUGUUUGAUUUCCAACUACGCACAAAUCUGCCUGACUGAAAGCUGCACUUUUAUUUUUAUAUAACUUUUGAAGAAACAAAAGUUGAAGCCUCAUUUUCAUUUGUUCACAUAAAACUGAGACCAGUUAAAUUUCUGGUGUUGAUGGAAACUUCAGGGGAUAUUUAAAGUAUAAUUUGUUUGAUUUAACAACCAAUCAACCAAUCAGAUCUCCGAACAGUGUCAGUGGUUUUCUGUUUUUAACUUACCUAACAGGGCAGCUUCUUGUUUGUUUGUUUCAGAUUGUCAAAUUCAGACAAAAUCUGAGUCUUAAAACCUGAUGAGAACUUUUUAAAGUUUAGUAGUAAAAUAGUAAAAGUUGACUUUUUUUUUCUUAUUUUGAAGACAUCGAACAUUUUUUAAUUCAAGUUUUGUUGUUCCAUGUUUUUUUGUUUUCUUUAUUUUUAAAUUUCACACAAAUUAGGCUGUUAACUAUUUUAUCAUUUCUGUCGAAAUCACCAAAAUAGAUGUAAAUAUUAAUUAAGCCUAUUUAUAGUUGUAAAACAAAACACUUCCAUAAUGUGCCAGCAUUCAUUUAGCCUAUUUGUCUAUUUUCUCUAUUUUUGCUUUAUUUAUUAUUAAUUUAUCAUAGUGUGUUUGUUUAUUUAUUUAUUUAUUUAUUUUACCUUCCUUUAUUCAGGGCAGUGAGCAGCUCUCUCUCUUCAGGAGCGACCUGAUCUCAUUCACUGCACGUUAGACUGCUUAUUUAUAGUCCGUAUGUCUGUUUGUCUAAUUCUUAACUAAGUUCAAAUUAACUCACAAUUUCGAUAAAAAGUUAAACUUCUAAGAAAUUCUUGACUUUUAUAAAAGAUUUUUAAUCUCUCGAAAUAUGUUUUUAUUAUUGAUUGAUUUAGACACAAUUAUUGGGAUGUUUGCUGAGCCACAAAGAAAACAAAUGACCACCAAAGUAAAACCACCUCCCGGAAUUAAGAUUUUUUUUUUUUAACUUAACUAAAUAAUAAUUUCAUACUUUAAUUAUAUUUCUCUAGAGACUUUCACUUAUAGUCUUUGCAGCCGCUCUGUGUCUCCAGUAAACAGCUGCUGCAGAUGUUUCCUGCAGGCUCCUCUUUAGAAACAGUGAUGCACCUUUAAACUCAGCUUUACUUCGGUCCCCUGUUAACAGUCCGAGCAGCCAAUCACCUGCUGACCUGCUGCCUCACGUCACUUCACGUGCUCUUUGUAGUUUUUCCGGCGUCGGACUUCGCUUUUUACUCUCCGGUAAAACCGUUCAGCUGCAGGAGGGACCGGGACCGGACCGGAGCUUCAGACCGGCUCUCAGAGGUAACCCCGCCGGGACCAGACGGCCCGGAAACACUGGAGCUUCAAGGACUUAAUGUGGAGCUCUGCAGCGACCUGAUGGUGUUUACAGAUGUUUGCAGCUGUAAGCGGUUAAUCAUAAGUUUAUGGUGAAUUAAUUACAGCUGAAAGGCCUUUUUCAUUCUCCUUUUGUCUGAACAUAUCACUUUAAUAUUCUAUAUACUUUCUGUUGGUAGGUAUAAUGUAUCUCUGUUUAAUGACUUUACCUGGAAUGCUUCUUAAUAUCAUUACAAUAUUCCUAAAGCUGUCUAUAUUGGAGUGGAUGGUGUGUUUGAGGCCAAUAUAUUACACAUAAUUAUACUGAAAGCCAUGUAAAACUAUAUUUUAUGAUAUGUAGGAUAUUUCAUGGUGCCUCUGGUACAUUACAGUAUUGUCUCUUAGCUGCUGUCUAAUGAUUUUAUAGUGAAUUAAUUAUGUUUUAAUGUUCUAAUUCUUAGGGAAUGUUAUAUGAGCUCUGAUAUUCCUAUAAUGACUACCUGCUGCCUCUGUUAGUUUCUAACAUCACCACAGUUGGUCUAUAGACUUAUAAUAUUUCUGCUGCUUGUCUUUUUUUCAUUGAACUGAAGCCACUCACUUAGUCACACAUGUGUCCAUAACAGGUCAUUAAAUUAUGUGUUAACUUUUGUUUUGUUAUUUUUAAAAUGAUUCUAAAUUAAUGUGUUAAAUUUGACAGCAUUUGACACCAAACUGGGGUUUCAAGGCAUCUUGAUCUGCCCCUGUAUGAACCUAUAGGGACAGUAUAAUGUAUCUGGUAGCUUAUAAUGAUCAUUAUUUAUCAGGAAAGUGUACUUACUAGUAUAUCUAAUGAUAUACUGUUAUGUAAUGUAUAAUUAGAUUAUUAUUACUCAUGUAUUAAUGUUUAGGCCUCUUUUGCCUUUUUGUGAGAAGGAUUUUAACAACAUCCCUCAUAUUAAAAACUAUUAUUUUAUUUUAUCGUAUGAACUGAUUCCUGUCGUCUUAGACACAAAUGCUUAAAUUUGAAGCCAACAAAACAAUAAAUAUAUAAACUGCAGUGUGGAGAUGGCUUUGAAACAAUAUAAAUACAGUUUUAAGAAACAUAAUGGACAAGUUAACUGUUAUUAUUGAGCAGUUGACUAUAAAGAAAACACAAAAAUAUAAAUGAUUAACCUAAAUUACAGAGCUUUUUUUAUUUUAUGCUGGGGGAACUCAUGACUCCUGGUUACAGCCCUGCAUCCUCGUAUGUGUAGUCUUUAUUUUCAGAUGAUUUUAGUGUUAUUCAUGUUUUUUUUUUGCAGUUUAAUGAUUUUUCUCUUUUAAAAAGUCUAUUUACUAAACAUUUCUUAUUAGAACCACAGAUCCCUGCAGACCAAAAUACCCAGAACCUGGACCUCCAUCUCUCCUGCGGUCUGGCUUUCUAGAAAAUAUUAAAUAUUUAGGGAAAGCAGCUGUAAAGAAGAAGCAGAGUGAGCUCAAAGAACAGAAAUCUUUCCUCUUGCAGAGAAUCAUUCUCUCAUCUUCUGGUUUACAUCAGUCUGAAGUUCCUCAACUCGACUCUGUAAAGAUGGAUGUCUUCAGUCUCUUUAGACUCCGGUUCUCUGCCUUUCCUCUCAGUCUGUCUCCCCUCAGUUUAAUCCUCGGCUCUCUGGAGGAGCAUUAGGCCAAGCAGCUGGGGCCCCUGAACGCCUCUUGAAAAGGCAGUCCACUCCAUCCAGGAGGGUGAGGGGGAAGGGGGGGCGGCGUCCAGACCACCUGGCUCCUGAAACAUAGAAAAAUCCACCAACAUGCAACUCCACAGUGAGACUUGGGGGGAGUUGGAGGACUCUCACUGAGGUGAUGAGACGACCCUCUAGUGGCCACAGCUCCUGGAGGCUAAAAUGUCUCGACUCAUGAACUGUGUCCUUUCUUUCUUUCUUAUUUCUUUCUUUCUUGAACUUACAGCUGGAAUCAAAGGAUACGACUACAGUUAUUCUCUCAAUAACUUUGUUAACUAUUUACAGAAGUAAAUAGGUUUGUACGGUGGCCCUGAGAGCUCAACACACUGCCAACGUCCUAACGUCAGGUUUAUUUCUGCUUAAAUAAUAAUUUAAAUUUUAAAUGUAGUUUUCCUCACAGAAAUGAAUGAAAUGCUGAGAUAUAGAUUAUUAUUAUUACAAAUAUUACACCACUUAAAAUCAAUAAAGCCUCGCAACCCCUAGUGGGGGGUCCUGACCUCAAAGUAGGGAACCAGUGGAAUAGGAAAUGCAGUACUGAGGUGGUUUUCUUAUCGGUUUUACUUCUGGCACCGGGGGGGCUGAGUCAGCUACCAUUACAGUUACCGUCAGUUACUUUACCAAGUCCAUCAGGAAACUCUAUAAAUCACCUUGAUACUCGGUACCGCUGUGGUCAAACUGGCCUCCGUCUGUCCGGAUGUUUUCGGCUCUGCUCUGGUAACCUCGCUAACGGCGGCUACAGCAGCAGUUGAGGCAGAGCAGCUGGAGGACAUCAGACAAAAAAAAACUGAAAAUACUUUUUGUCCAGUAACCAGUGAGACCUGGCCCCCAGAAACACUCUACUCCAGGCUGAUGGGUGGAUGUCAUGAUAUUACUGGUUGAAAUUGGUUGGUUCAAGCUUUACGUAAGCACAUGUCACAUUUUGUUUUGAAGGGAAUAAAAAGAUUAGAUUUUGAUCCAAGAAUGCAAAGAAAUGUAUUUUUUGUAGCAUAAACAUUAAGAGCCCCAUAUGAGUGGGAAUGGGAUCUAAAAGCAUUUUUUAAAAAUUUCAUUUCGAUCUCUCAGGGUCACCGUAGAUUUAUUUUCAUAGCUUACAUAUUCCAUUAACUAGAGAUUGUUUUGGAAAAGAAUAUAAUGUUCAGAUUUGUAUAAUUUUAAAUAAGCAGACUCAUAAGAUGUGUUUGUUUAUUUCUGUACCCCUUUAAGAAUUGUUAUGUGAUUAUAGCACCCAACACUUGUCUGUUUAUUUCCAUCUAGUCUGUUAUUGUCUUAUUAUAUGUUGUUACAAGUCAUUUUGUACUAAAAACAAAAAAAAAUAUUAGAUUUUAUACUGCAGAGUCUCCAAAACAGGAUGCCUUUAAGAUUCAUGUAUUUUGCAGCUUAAACCAAAGUCAGAUUUCACCACAGUGCUCCUAAUGAUAGUUAUUAUAGUUAAAAGUUUUAUUAAACCCUUUUUAUGUUG